rnacentral:rRNA from 1 species
AAAUUGAAGAGUUUGAUCAUGGCUCAGAUUGAACGCUGGCGGCAGGCCUAACACAUGCAAGUCGAACGGUAACAGGAAGCAGCUUGCUGCUUUGCUGACGAGUGGCGGACGGGUGAGUAAUGUCUGGGAAACUGCCUGAUGGAGGGGGAUAACUACUGGAAACGGUGGCUAAUACCGCAUAACGUCGCAAGACCAAAGAGGGGGACCUUCGGGCCUCUUGCCAUCAGAUGUGCCCAGAUGGGAUUAGCUUGUUGGUGAGGUAACGGCUCACCAAGGCGACGAUCCCUAGCUGGUCUGAGAGGAUGACCAGCCACACUGGAACUGAGACACGGUCCAGACUCCUACGGGAGGCAGCAGUGGGGAAUAUUGCACAAUGGGCGCAAGCCUGAUGCAGCCAUGCCGCGUGUAUGAAGAAGGCCUUCGGGUUGUAAAGUACUUUCAGCGGGGAGGAAGGUGUUGCGGUUAAUAACCGCAGCAAUUGACGUUACCCGCAGAAGAAGCACCGGCUAACUCCGUGCCAGCAGCCGCGGUAAUACGGAGGGUGCAAGCGUUAAUCGGAAUUACUGGGCGUAAAGCGCACGCAGGCGGUCUGUCAAGUCGGAUGUGAAAUCCCCGGGCUCAACCUGGGAACUGCAUUCGAAACUGGCAGGCUUGAGUCUUGUAGAGGGGGGUAGAAUUCCAGGUGUAGCGGUGAAAUGCGUAGAGAUCUGGAGGAAUACCGGUGGCGAAGGCGGCCCCCUGGACAAAGACUGACGCUCAGGUGCGAAAGCGUGGGGAGCAAACAGGAUUAGAUACCCUGGUAGUCCACGCCGUAAACGAUGUCUACUUGGAGGUUGUGCCCUUGAGGCGUGGCUUCCGGAGCUAACGCGUUAAGUAGACCGCCUGGGGAGUACGGCCGCAAGGUUAAAACUCAAAUGAAUUGACGGGGGCCCGCACAAGCGGUGGAGCAUGUGGUUUAAUUCGAUGCAACGCGAAGAACCUUACCUGGUCUUGACAUCCACAGAACUUUCCAGAGAUGGAUUGGUGCCUUCGGGAACUGUGAGACAGGUGCUGCAUGGCUGUCGUCAGCUCGUGUUGUGAAAUGUUGGGUUAAGUCCCGCAACGAGCGCAACCCUUAUCCUUUGUUGCCAGCGGUUAGGCCGGGAACUCAAAGGAGACUGCCAGUGAUAAACUGGAGGAAGGUGGGGAUGACGUCAAGUCAUCAUGGCCCUUACGACCAGGGCUACACACGUGCUACAAUGGCGCAUACAAAGAGAAGCGACCUCGCGAGAGCAAGCGGACCUCAUAAAGUGCGUCGUAGUCCGGAUUGGAGUCUGCAACUCGACUCCAUGAAGUCGGAAUCGCUAGUAAUCGUGGAUCAGAAUGCCA